CUGAACUGCUUUUUACAUAUACUGACAUUGCAAUGAUACAGAGAAGACUAGCAUGGUGCUUACACAAGGAUGACAAGCAAAUUAAUGAAAGAUUACAUAUUUUC
ensembl:snRNA U6 U6 spliceosomal RNA